AAUAGAUACCCGGGUAGUCCACGCCGUAAACGUUGGGCGCUAGAUGUGGGGACCUUUCCACGGUUUCCGUGUCGUAGCUAACGCAUUAAGCGCCCCGCCUGGGGAGUACGGCCGCAAGGCUAAAACUCAAAGGAAUUGACGGGGGCCCGCACAAGCGGCGGAGCAUGCGGAUUAAUUCGAUGCAACGCGAAGAACCUUACCAAGGCUUGACAUACACGAGAACGGGCCAGAAAUGGUCAACUCUUUGGACACUCGUGAACAGGUGGUGCAUGGUUGUCGUCAGCUCGUGUCGUGAGAUGUUGGGUUAAGUCCCGCAACGAGCGCAACCCUCGUCGCAUGUUGCCAGCACGUUAUGGUGGGGACUCAUGUGAGACUGCCGGGGUCAACUCGGAGGAAGGUGGGGAUGACGUCAAAUCAUCAUGCCCCUUAUGUCUUGGGCUUCACGCAUGCUACAAUGGCCGGUACAAAGGGCUGCGAUGUCGUAAGGCGGAGCGAAUCCCAAAAAGCCGGUCUCAGUUCGGAUUGAGGUCUGCAACUCCG
rnacentral:rRNA from 1 species